AGAGGUGGCAAGCGUUGUUCGGAAUUACUGGGCGUAAAGGGCGCGUAGGCGGCCCGUCAAGUCCCGUGUGAAAGCCCCCGGCUCAACCGGGGAACGGCGCGGGAAACUAGCAGGCUUGAGUUCGGGAGAGGGAAGCGGAAUUCCGGGUGUAGCGGUGAAAUGCGCAGAUAUCCGGAGGAACACCGGUGGCGAAGGCGGCUUCCUGGACCGACACUGACGCUGAGGCGCGAAAGCUAGGGGAGCAAACGGGAUUAGAUACCCCGGUAGUCCUAGCCCUAAACGAUGAGAACUGGGUGUAGAGGGUAUGAACCCCCUCUGUGCCGAAGCUAACGCAUUAAGUUCUCCGCCUGGGGAGUACGGUCGCAAGGCUGAA
rnacentral:rRNA from 1 species